UAAUCCGAAUUUGAUAUCAAAGAACAAAAUAGCGAAAAUCCAUACAAAAUUCUUAUUAAAAAACGCCAAAACCUUUUUUAUUCCCACUAGAAGAUACUUCACAUCCGCCUGUUAAUACCAUUGGUGAUGCCGACAAUCAUAUUUCGAAAUGGCAAGAUACAGUACCACUCGUUAGACUGUGAAUCAUGGCAGACAUUUGAGCGUAUUUAUCAAGAUGUCCUUGUUGAUCUUUUAAUUGCUGUUCUUUCUCCUUCACCACCUUUUCAUGCUGGCUACAUACCACUUCCAGAGAGGCAACCUGAAAUUAUCAUUAUGGCGUCGGAGCAUUUCACUGAGUUCAGAUAAAGAUUCGUGUUCCUUUUGUGCGGCAUUCAAAGUUUCCCUCAAAGUCUCCGAUCUAAACGUCAACAUAUAAACCAAUAAACGAAUAUAGCAAAAUUGAAAACCUGAUACUUUA